rnacentral:rRNA from 1 species
UACAUGGGGUGCAAACGUUGCUCGGAAUUAUUGGGCGUAAAACGCACGUAGGUGGUCUGUUAUGUCAGAUGUGAAAGCCCUCGGCUUAACUGAGGAAGUGCACCUGAAACUGGCAGGCUUGAGUACGAAAGAGGGUCGCGGAAUUCCCGGUGUAGAGGUGAAAUUCGUAGAUAUCGGGAGGAACACCGGUGGCGAAGGCGGCGACCUGGUUCGAUACUGACACUGAGGUGCGAAAGCGUGGGGAGCAAACAGG